rnacentral:rRNA from 1 species
UACGUAGGGGGCAAGCGUUGUCCGGAUUUAUUGGGCGUAAAGAGCGUGUAGGCGGCCAGACAGGUCCGUUGUGAAAACUCGAGGCUCAACCUCGAGACGGCGACGGAAACCGUCUGGCUAGAGUCCGGAAGAGGAGUGUGGAAUUCCUGGUGUAGCGGUGAAAUGCGCAGAUAUCAGGAAGAACACCCGUGGCGAAGGCGGCUCUCUGGGACGGUACUGACGCUGAGACGCGAAAGCGUGGGGAGCGAACAGG